CCUGACUGCUAUCGGAUUGAUACUAAGCCAUGCGAGUCUUUGUAGUAAUACAAGGCAGACGGCUCAGUAACACGUAGUCAAUCUACCCUAUGGACGGGGAUAACCUCGGGAAACUGAGAAUAAUACCCGAUAGAUCAUUAUGCCUGGAAUGGUUUAUGGUUUAAAUGAUUUUUCGCCGUAGGAUGGGACUGCGGCCUAUCAGUUUGUUGGUGAGGUAAUGGCCCACCAAGACUAUUACAGGUACGGGCUCUGAGAGGAGAAGCCCGGAGAUGGGUACUGAGACACGGACCCAGGCCCUAUGGGGCGCAGCAGGCGAGAAAACUUUGCAAUGUGCGAAAGCACGACAAGGUUAAUCCGAGUGUUUUCUGCUAAAGAAAUCUUUUGUCAGUCCUAAAACCACUGGCGAAUAAGGGGUGGGCAAGUUCUGGUGUCAGCCGCCGCGGUAAAACCAGCACCUCAAGUGGUCAGGAUGAUUAUUGGGCCUAAAGCAUCCGUAGCCGGCUAUGAAAGUUUUCGGUUAAAUCCAUAUGCUCAACAUAUGGGCUGCCGAGAAUACUCCAUAGCUAGGGAGUGGGAGAGGUAGACGGUACUCCGUAGGAAGGGGUAAAAUCCUUUGAUCUAUGGAUGACCACCUGUGGCGAAGGCGGUCUACCAGAACACGUUCGACGGUGAGGGAUGAAAGCUGGGGGAGCAAACCGGAUUAGAUACCCGGGUAGUCCCAGCUGUAAACUAUGCAAACUCGGUGAUGCAUUGGCUUGUGGCCAGUGCAGUGUCGCAGAGAAGUCGUCAAGUUUGCCGCCUGGGAAGUACGUACGCAAGUAUGAAACUUAAAGGAAUUGGCGGGGGAGCACCACAAGGGGUGAAGCCUGCGGUUC
rnacentral:rRNA from 1 species